rnacentral:rRNA from 1 species
AUGAACGCUGGCGGCGUGCCUAAUCCCUGCCAGUCGAGCGAACAGACGAGGAGCUUGCUCCUCUGACGUUAGCGGCGGACGGGUGAGUAACCCGUGGAUAACCUACCUAUAAGACUGGGAUAACUUCGGGAAACCGGAGCUAAUACCGGAUAAUAUAUUGAACCGCCUGGUUCAAUAGUGAAAGACGGUUUUGCUGUCACGUAUAGAUGGAUCCGCGCCGCAUUAGCUAGUUGGUAAGGUAACGGCUUACCAAGGCAACGAUGCGUAGCCGACCUGAGAGGGUGAUCGGCCACACUGGAACUGAGACACGGUCCAGACUCCUACGGGAGGCAGCAGUAGGGAAUCUUCCGCAAUGGGCGAAAGCCUGACGGAGCAACGCCGCGUGAGUGAUGAAGGUCUUCGGAUCGUAAAACUCUGUUAUUAGGGAAGAACAAAUGUGUAAGUAACUAUGCACGUCUUGACGGUACCUAAUCAGAAAGCCACGGCUAACUACGUG